UACAGACAAAGAGGCACAUCUUUAGGAAAGAGAAGCUCAAUUCCAGAGAGAAAGAGUUGGGGAGACUGUGUUCAGAAAGAAAGAUAGUGCUUGGAGAGAGUGUGACGGAUAUGGAAAGAAAGGCCUUGGUGUUGUGUAGUUUUGUGGGUUUCUUGGGGUUAUUAUCAGCUGCUACAGGUUUUGCUGCAGAGGCCACCAGGAUUAAGGGUUCUGAGGUUCAGUUCACAUCUGCCACUCAAUGCGCCUAUCCUCGGAGUCCUGCACUGGCUCUUGGUUUAACUUCAGCUGUGGCACUUAUGUUGGCACAAGUAAUUAUUAAUGUUGCAAGUGGGUGUAUUUGUUGCAAAAGAAGCCCUAACCCUUCAAAUUCAAAUUGGACGAUAGCAUUAGUCUGCUUUGUUGUUUCCUGGUUCACAU
rnacentral:misc_RNA from 1 species